rnacentral:rRNA from 1 species
AUUGAACGCUGGCGGCAUGCUUUACACAUGCAAGUCGAACGGUAACAGGCCGCAAGGUGCUGACGAGUGGCGAACGGGUGAGUAAUGCAUCGGAACGUGCCCAGUCGUGGGGGAUAACGCAGCGAAAGCUGCGCUAAUACCGCAUACGAUCUAUGGAUGAAAGCGGGGGACCGUAAGGCCUCGCGCGAUUGGAGCGGCCGAUGUCAGAUUAGGUAGUUGGUGGGGUAAAGGCUCACCAAGCCAACGAUCUGUAGCUGGUCUGAGAGGACGACCAGCCACACUGGGACUGGGACACGGCCCAGACUCCUACGGGAGGCAGCAGUGGGGAAUUUUGGACAAUGGGCGCAAGCCUGAUCCAGCAAUGCCGCGUGCAGGAAGAAGGCCUUCGGGUUGUAAACUGCUUUUGUACGGAACGAAACGGUCCUGGUUAAUACCUGGGGCUAAUGACGGUACCGUAAGAAUAAGCACCGGCUAACUACGUGCCAGCCGCCGCGGUAAAAC